AGAGAAUCGCUUGAACCUGGGAGGCGGAGGUUGCAGUGAGCUGAGAUCACACCAUUGCACUCCAGCCUGGGCGACAGAG
rnacentral:snRNA from 1 species